GGGCGCGUAGGUAAAUGGUAUACUUUCGGUCUCCAAAACCGAAGUCGUAGGUUCGAUUCCUACCGCGCCUG
rnacentral:tRNA from 1 species